rnacentral:rRNA from 1 species
AAAUUGAAGAGUUUGAUCAUGGCUCAGAUUGAACGCUGGCGGCAGGCCUAACACAUGCAAGUCGAACGGUAACAGGAAGCAGCUUGCUGUUUCGCUGACGAGUGGCGGACGGGUGAGUAAUGUCUGGGAAACUGCCUGAUGGAGGGGGAUAACUACUGGAAACGGUGGCUAAUACCGCAUAACGUCGCAAGACCAAAGAGGGGGACCUUCGGGCCUCUUGCCAUCAGAUGUGCCCAGAUGGGAUUAGCUAGUUGGUGAGGUAACGGCUCACCAAGGCGACGAUCCCUAGCUGGUCUGAGAGGAUGACCAGCCACACUGGAACUGAGACACGGUCCAGACUCCUACGGGAGGCAGCAGUGGGGAAUAUUGCACAAUGGGCGCAAGCCUGAUGCAGCCAUGCCGCGUGUAUGAAGAAGGCCUUCGGGUUGUAAAGUACUUUCAGCGGGGAGGAAGGUGUUGCGGUUAAUAACCGCAGCAAUUGACGUUACCCGCAGAAGAAGCACCGGCUAACUCCGUGCCAGCAGCCGCGGUAAUACGGAGGGUGCAAGCGUUAAUCGGAAUUACUGGGCGUAAAGCGCACGCAGGCGGUCUGUCAAGUCGGAUGUGAAAUCCCCGGGCUCAACCUGGGAACUGCAU